rnacentral:rRNA from 1 species
GACGAACGCUGGCGGCGUGCUUAACACAUGCAAGUCGAACGGUAAGGCCCUUCGGGGUACACGAGUGGCGAACGGGUGAGUAACACGUGGGUGAUCUGCCCUGCACUUCGGGAUAAGCCUGGGAAACUGGGUCUAAUACCGGAUAGGACCACUUCCUGCAUGGGUGGUGGUGGAAAGCUUUUGCGGUGUGUGAUGGGCCCGCGGCCUAUCAGCUUGUUGGUGGGGUGAUGGCCUACCAAGGCGACGACGGGUAGCCGGCCUGAGAGGGUGACCGGCCACACUGGGACUGAGAUACGGCCCAGACUCCUACGGGAGGCAGCGGUGGGGAAUAUUGCACAAUGGGCGCAAGCCUGAUGCAGCGACGCCGCGUGAGGGAUGACGGCCUUCGGGUUGUAAACCUCUUUCAGCACCGACGAAGCGCAAGUGACGGUAGGUGCAGAAGAAGGACCGGCCAACUACGUGCCAGCCGCCGCGGUAA